AUGCUACAUGGAAACUUUUACACUAAAUUAAUGCUAAUCUUAAGCCUUCAUGUCUUAAACCAAUCCUCCAUCAUUCUCCAUGAUAUGUCAAAAAUUUCUCCAUGCCUUCACAAACCUUCAACUGCUUCCAAACUUUGUCCACUAAUCUUGUCUUCAUAUCUCCAUAACGUCUUUAAAUGA